rnacentral:rRNA from 2 species
GACGAACCGUGCGAACGUUGUUCGGAAUCACUGGGCUUAAAGGGCGCGUAGGCGGGCUGCCAAGUCCGGGGUGAAAUCCCACGGCUCAACCGUGGAACGGCCCGGGAUACUGGCGGCCUCGAGGGGGGUAGGGGCCCGCGGAACUAUGCGUGGAGCGGUGAAAUGCGUUGAUAUGCAUAGGAACUCCGGUGGCGAAGGCGGCGGGCUGGACCCCUUCUGACGCUGAGGCGCGAAAGCCAGGGGAGCGAACGGG